rnacentral:rRNA from 1 species
GCGGCGUGCUUAACACAUGCAAGUCGAACGAUGAAGCCCAGCUUGCUGGGUGGAUUAGUGGCGAACGGGUGAGUAACACGUGAGCAACCUGCCCCUGACUCUGGGAUAAGCGCUGGAAACGGCGUCUAAUACUGGAUAUGUCCCGUCACCGCAUGGUGUGCGGGUGGAAAGAUUUUUCGGUUGGGGAUGGGCUCGCGGCCUAUCAGCUUGUUGGUGAGGUAAUGGCUCACCAAGGCGUCGACGGGUAGCCGGCCUGAGAGGGUGACCGGCCACACUGGGACUGAGACACGGCCCAGACUCCUACGGGAGGCAGCAGUGGGGAAUAUUGCACAAUGGGCGGAAGCCUGAUGCAGCAACGCCGCGUGAGGGAUGACGGCCUUCGGGUUGUAAACCUCUUUUAGCAGGGAAGAAGCGAAAGUGACGGUACCUGCAGAAAAAGCACCGGCUAACUACGUGCCAGCAGCCGCGGUAAUACGUAGGGUGCAAGCGUUAUCCGGAAUUAUUGGGCGUAAAGAGCUCGUAGGCGGUCUGUCGCGUCUGCUGUGAAAUUCCGAGGCUCAACCUCGGGCUUGCAGUGGGUACGGGCAGACUAGAGUGCGGUAGGGGAGAUUGGAAUUCCUGGUGUAGCGGUGGAAUGCGCAGAUAUCAGGAGGAACACCGAUGGCGAAGGCAGAUCUCUGGGCCGUAACUGACGCUGAGGAGCGAAAGGGUGGGGAGCAAACAGGCUUAGAUACCCUGGUAGUCCACCCCGUAAACGUUGGGAACUAGUUGUGGGGUCCUUUCCACGGAUUCCGUGACGCAGCUAACGCAUUAAGUUCCCCGCCUGGGGAGUACGGCCGCAAGGCUAAAACUCAAAGGAAUUGACGGGGACCCGCACAAGCGGCGGAGCAUGCGGAUUAAUUCGAUGCAACGCGAAGAACCUUACCAAGGCUUGACAUACACGAGAACGGGCCAGAAAUGGUCAA